UACGAAGGGGGCUAGCGUUGCUCGGAAUCACUGGGCGUAAAGCGCACGUAGGCGGACUCUUAAGUCAGGGGUGAAAUCCUGGAGCUCAACUCCAGAACUGCCUUUGAUACUGGGAGGCUUGAGUACGGGAGAGGUGAGUGGAACUGCGAGUGUAGAGGUGAAAUUCGUAGAUAUUCGGAAGAACACCAGUGGCGAAGGCGACUUACUGGACGAUUGUUGACGCUGAGGUGCGAAAGCGUGGGGAGCAAACAGG
rnacentral:rRNA from 1 species